rnacentral:lncRNA from 1 species
AAAGAAAUAAGGAUAGAGUCCUACAUAUGUGUAGUUUGACCAUGUGGUGAUUUCUUAUAAAAAAAACUUUAACUUUUCUACAUUAAAACCAACACCAAUGAUAUUUGAAAUGAAAUCAAAAUAAAUUAAGUUCAGAAACGCUUCAAAAGAAAAUAUACUUCUUGUUCAUGCUAAUCUAAAACAGACUCACAUAAUAAAAACAAACACAUCAAAUGCCAAAAACAAACAAAAAAAGAAAGGAAAGUGAAACGGUACCCACAAGUGACGCUCGCGGAAAAUUGUUUUUCGAAAGGCUCCGAUCACCACUCAGUAGCGGCAAUGGGAAAGGAGAAUGCGGAAGUCGAGGUGGUUAGUCGUGAAGUGCGAACAACACGGUCACGAAACAGAGUCGGUGAUGGUUGGUUAUGAAAAC